rnacentral:rRNA from 1 species
GACGGGGGGGGCAAGUGUUCUUCGGAAUGACUGGGCGUAAAGGGCACGUAGGCGGUGAAUCGGGUUGAAAGUGAAAGUCGCCAAAAAGUGGCGGAAUGCUCUCGAAACCAAUUCACUUGAGUGAGACAGAGGAGAGUGGAAUUUCGUGUGUAGGGGUGAAACUCCGAUAAUAUCGAAGGAACGCCAAAAGCGAAGGCAGCUCGUCUGGGUCCCUACCGAGGCUGGGGUGCGAAAGCAUGGGGAGCGAACAGG